rnacentral:rRNA from 1 species
UACGGAGGGUGCAAACGUUGCUCGGAAUCAUUGGGCGUAAAGCGCACGUAGGCGGUUUGUUAAGUCGGAUGUGAAAGCCCUCGGCUCAACCGAGGAAGUGCAUUCGAAACUGGCAGACUUGAAUAUGGAAGAGGGUCGCGGAAUUCCCGGUGUAGAGGUGAAAUUCGUAGAUAUCGGGAGGAACACCAGUGGCGAAGGCGGCGACCUGGGCCAAUAUUGACGCUGAGGUGCGAAAGCGUGGGGAGCAAACAGG